AGGAAAGACAUCAUCCUCGCUGUCCACCACUGGAGCACUGGAACGGUUGUUUGCUGCAAGGGACUGGACCACUGAAGUCAGAUGAUUGAUCUUCAUGUCCAGUUCAUUAAGUGCCUCCAGAAUUGUCCUCUCAACAGCUGCAACACAUUAGAUGGGUGUUCACCCCAAGCAUCCUCUUGCUCAUUUUCAUUGGACAAGCUCACUGGAACAGCUGGAGUUAAGAAAGGUGAAGUUGUGAUAGAUGGGUGUUCUUCCCAAGUUUCCAGUUGGCGGUCUGCAUGAGAGAAGCUCUCUGUUAAAUGAGCUUAAUUGACAUUACAAAAGGUGAGUGUUCACCCCAAGCAUCUUGUGGCUCAUCUGCCUGGGAGAAGCUCAUGGGAACAUCUGGAGCUGAGAAUGAUGGAACUGUACUCAUGUAGAGCCUGUUACCUUGACAGCUGGGGAAAGUCUCAAAACGGGCCUGUUGUGGCUUCUCCA